rnacentral:rRNA from 1 species
CGCCUCCUGCAAAAAUCAAUGUAUAGGAGGUCUUGCCUGCCCAGUGACAAGUUAAACGGCCGCGGUAUUUUGACCGUGCGAAGGUAGCGCAAUCACUUGUCUUUUAAAUGAAGACCUGUAUGAAUGGUGGAACGAGGGCUUAACUGUCUCCCCUUUCAAGUCAAUGAAAUUGAUCUGCCCGUGCAGAAGCGGACAUAAAAAUACAAGACGAGAAGACCCUUUGGAGCUUAAGAUACAAGAUCAACUAUGUCAAGAACUCUAAAAUUAAGUUAAACUAAAUAGUUAACUGAUCCCUAUCUUCGGUUGGGGCGACCGCGGGAGAAAACAAAGCUCCCACGCGGACUGGGAUUAUAAUCCUAAAACCAAGAAAGACAUCUCUAAGUCGCAGAACAUCUGACCAUAAAGAUCCGGCCUUAACCCGCCGACCAACGGACCAAGUUACCCUAGGGAUAACAGCGCAAUCCCCUUUCAGAGUCCAUAUCGACAAGGGGGUUUACGACCUCGAUGUUGGAUCAGGACAUCCUAAUGGUGCAGCCGCUAUUAAGGGUUCGUUUGUUCAACGAUUAAAGUCCU